CCACUGGGUUGAUAGGCCGGAUGUGGAAGCGAGGACUAACGACUCGUGAAGCUGACCGGUACUAAUAGGCCGAUAACUUACACCACACA
rnacentral:rRNA from 1 species